rnacentral:rRNA from 1 species
AGAAUGAACGUUGGCGGCGUGGAUUAGGCAUGCAAGUCGAACGGGCCGCAAGGCCAGUGGCGCAAGGGUGAGUAAGGCGACGGUAACCAACCCCGCGGGUGGGCAUAGCCGAGGGAAACUUCGGGUAAUUCCCAGCGAUGCAUCGGAUCGGCAUCGAUCCUCUGCCAAAGAUUUAUCGCCGUGGGACGGGCCGUUGUGGUAUUAGCUUGUUGGCGGGGUGACGGCCCACCAAGGCUUCGAUGCCUACCGGGCGUGCGAGCGUGGCCCGGCACACUGGGACUGAGACACUGCCCCAGACUCCUACGGGAGGCUGCAGUCGAGAAUCUUCGGCAAUGGGCGCAAGCCUGACCGAGCGACGCCGCGUGGAGGAUGAAGGCCUUCGGGUUGUAAACUCCUGUCGAGGGGGAGAAGCCGCAAGGUUGACCGAUCCCUGGAGGAAGCACGGGCUAAGUUCGCGCCAGCAGCCGC